GAGACCAGCAGACGCCGCCAUGUCCUUGCCCUGGAUCCCAGGGGAUCCCAGAGGAAGCCAGGAUCGCCCGCAGCCGGUCUUCAGGAAGGAAGCAUCGCCUUGAUGAUGCCUUGAUUUGGACAUUCUCACGGCCUCAGACUGGACAGAAGGUUAAUGCAAAUCCUUCUGGACUGGAUGGAGACCCAGAGCCACUGUGGGGACAUGUAGGAACUCCUCAGUCAUCCUGCCCAGGGGCCCGUGAACAGUGCUCCCAUGGGGAGGUGCAGCCCCAUGCACCCAGCAAAGCCAGACAGGAGCAGCGAGGGAUGACCAGCCCCAUCCUGUGUCCUCCGGGUCAUUCCGAGAACACAGCCUGUCAAUCCAAUCCCUCCCAGCGGCCGUGCAUAAUCCAGAAGCUUCGUUCCUCUCUGCGUGGUGCCCUGGGACGUCCAAGGCCAUAAUGGAAGAGUUAAAAUCUUCCUGGGAAGCUGCUGCUCUCGGCUCCAAUGGGGGUAAUUGAUGUAAUCAGGGGUUUCCAAUUAUGAUUUGUGAUGCAAUUUUGAUCUCCCUUUCAAAUGCUCCCAAGAUGUUUGCAGAAGUGCCCAGGUCCUUGAUAUCUCUUUCCCUCUCAGGAGUCCCACCCACUUAUGCCCAGUCCUUUUAUCAUUCAAGAAAGAGCCCACAUUUCUGGGGUCCAGGGCAGGAGGGGGAGGGUGGACAGCAAGGGCUGGGCAAGAGACCCACCUGGAGACCUCACCAUGGCUUUAAUGGAAGGCUGGGCCACCACCUUUCAGCCUAUACUUUCUCUUUCUCAUUCUGUUUUAAGUAAAAUUGAGGUGAAAUUCAUAUAACAUAAAAUUAACCAUUUUAAAGUGAACAAUUCAGUGGCAUUUAGUGCAUUUGCAAUGUUGUGCAACCACAGCUUCAACCUAGUACCAAAAUAUUCUCAUGCCACCCAGAGAAAAACCUGCCCCCCUUAAGCAGCUGCCGUCCACCUGCCCAUAGCCCCCAACAUCACCAAUCUACUCCCUCUCUACAGAUUUACCUGGUCUGGAUGUUCCAUACAA